GGGAAAUAAGAAUGUCCUGGAAUCAGAUCCUGAUGAUGGCUGCACAACCUUGUGGACCUACUAAAAACCACUGAGUUGUAGAGUUGAAAAGGGCUUAAUAGUUUAGAAAACAUCCUAGAAAAAUGGAGUCCGGAUGUCAAGCGAUUCGGCCCCGACAUGCCCAUCGUCCCGCUUGCGAACAAGAAGCAUCUCCAGAACGAUGAGCGCCCAGGGCAGGAGCUGACCAAGGUGAAGGGGGAGCUGGUAAAGGCCUUUUCUGCCUUCCUUUGGUUUCAUGCUUGAGGCACCCAUACCCAGCCAGCACUCACUCCCCCUUCUGAGGACCCCGCCGUGGUGUCACAGCAUGCAAAAGUCCUCAGUGUGCAGAGCUGUGAGCCCAUUGCAGCAACCACCCAGCACAGGUUCAUCUCAUCCAGCUGGAAUAUGAAACCAUCUGUCCACGUGAGCAGAGGAAACCCUAGGACCUGGCAUCAGACUGUGAAUGUGGUUGAGACUCGGCCCAACUGUCUGAACUCGCGCAGGUCGCUUCAAUUUCUCAGUCUCACCUUUAAAUCAGAAUAACCGUAGCACCAGCCUCCUGGGAAUGGAUUGAGUGGUGCCCACAAAAUGUCUCACACAGUAUCUAGUAUAGGG